AGAAGGCUUGUUCUCUUCACACACGUGCACAGAGUUGGCUGAUGAGGAGGAAGAACGAGCCCUCGUCCUGCCCUGAGCCCUGCUGGACUUUGCCCGGGACUUCUGAGAUACCUCAACUAUCCCCAACUGGUUUAGAUGUGAGAAAAUAAGCUGCCCAACAACAAAUGAAGAUGUAUUUUGGGGCCUGUUUGACAGACAGGGUUGGAAAUGCUGCCACUUCAUUGCUGCCAUAGUGGAACAGCUUGUCACGGCGCAUAAUUUCUUCUUCUCUGAAAGCCUGGCCCAAGAUCUGCACACUGCCCCCCCCCCCCAACUGCUUUUGUUUAAGACUCAACCAUGGCCACCAAGCAAGCCAAAAUGUAUAGUCACUUUGAGUGUCUGCCCGAAUGAUAAUUGUUGCGGUGUCCUCGGGUGACAUCUGAAGUGCUGGACAGUUGACAAGA
rnacentral:lncRNA from 1 species